GACGAACGCUGGCGGCGUGCUUAACACAUGCAAGUCGAACGGCAAGGCCCUGCUUUUCUGGGCUGCUCGAGUGGCGCACGGGUGUGUAACACGUGAGUAACCUGCCCUUGACUUUGGGAUAACUUCAGGAAACUGGGGCUACUACCGGCUAGGAGCUCCUGCUGCCUGGUGGGGGUUGGAACGUUUCGGCGGUUGGGGAUGGACUCGCGGCUUAUCAGCUUGUUGGUGGGGUAGUGGCUUACCCAGGCUUUGACGGGUAGCCGGCCUGAGAGGGUGACCGGCCACAUGGGGACUGAGAGACGGCCCAGACUCCUACGGGAGGCAGCAGUGGGGAAUAUUGCACAAUGGGCGGAAGCCUGAUGCAGCAACGCCGCGGGCGGGAUGACGGCCUUCGGGUUGUAAACCGCUUUCGCCUGUGACGAAGCGUGAGUGACGGUAAUGGGUAAAGAAGCACCGGCUAACUACGUG
rnacentral:rRNA from 1 species